AGGACGAACGCUGGCGGCGUGCUUAACACAUGCAAGUCGAACGGUGAAGCCCUUCGGGGUGGAUCAGUGGCGAACGGGUGAGUAACACGUGAGCAAUCUGCCCUUGACUCUGGGAUAACUUCGGGAAACCGGAGCUAAUACCGGAUAUGACAUACGGCCGCAUGGUCUGUGUGUGGAAAGAUUUAUCGGUCAGGGAUGAGCUCGCGGCCUAUCAGCUUGUUGGUGGGGUAAUGGCCCACCAAGGCGACGACGGGUA
rnacentral:rRNA from 1 species